GUCGAGAGGCUUCGGCAAUGGGGGAAACCCUGACCGAGCGACGCCGCGUGGGCGAUGAAGGCCGUUAGGUUGUAAAGCCCUGUCGUGCGGGACGAAUUCAGGAGGGUGAACAAUCCUUCUGUUUGACGGUACCGCAAAAGGAAGCUCCGGCUAACUCCGUGCCAGCAGCCGCGGUAAUACGGGGGGAGCGAACGUUGUUCGGAAUCACUGGGCGUAAAGGGCGUGCAGGCGGCUCGAUAAGUGGAAGGUGAAAUGCCCUGGCUCAACCAGGGAACUGCCUUCCAUACUGUCGAGCUUGAGUGCGGGAGAGGAUGGGAGAAUUCCCGGUGUAGCGGUGGAAUGCAUUGAUAUCGGGAGGAAUACCAGUGGCGAAGGCGCCCAUCUGGCCCGACACUGACGCUCAGGCGCGAAAGCUAGGGGAGCAAACAGGAUUAGAAACCCCAGUAGUCC
rnacentral:rRNA from 1 species